rnacentral:lncRNA from 1 species
AUGAAAUCCAGCAAAGAACUUCAAUUUAUGGCUUUACUAUUUAAGAAUUGUUCAAUUUAUAGGGUGGCAUUGGGUUUGAGAGUGUUCUGUCCCUGUGGGAGGGGGACUGGGGCAGUCUGCACCCAGAGCACCCCAGAGCUCACAGAGCACACACAGAGCACACCCAGAGCAUCCAGAACACACCCAGAGCACCCAGAGCAUCCCAGAGCAUCCAGAGCACACCCAGAACACCCAGAGCACACCCAGAGCAUCCAGAGCACACCCAGAGCACACCCAGAGCAUCCCAGAGCACCCAGAACACACAGAGCACACCCAGAACACACAGAUCACACCCAGAACACACAGAGCACACCCGGAGCACACCCAGAGCACACCCAGAGCACACCCAGAGCACCCAGAGCACACCCAGAGCACACCCAGAGCAUCCAGAACACACCCAGAGCACACCCAGAGCAUCCAGAACACACCCAGAACACCCAGAGCACACCCAGAGCAUCCCAGAGCACCCAGAGCACACCCAGAGCACACCCGGAGCACACAGAGCACACCCUGAGCACACCCAGAGAACACCCAGAUCACACCCAGAGCACCCAGAGCACACCCAGAGCACACAGAACACACCCAGAGCACACAGAGCACCCAGAGCACACCCAGAGCACACCCAGAGCACACCCAGAGCAUCCAGAACACACACAGGGCACACCCAGGGCACACCCAGAGCACACCCAGAGCACACCCAGAGCAUCCAGAACACACCCAGAGCACACCCAGAGCACACCCAGAGCACACCCAGAACACACAGAGCACACCCAGAGCACACCCAGAGCACCCAGAACACACCCAGAGCAUCCAGAACACACACAGGGCACACCCAGAGCAUCCAGAACACACCCAGAGCACACCCAGAGCACCCAGAGCACACCCAGAGCACACCCAGAGCACACCCAGAGCACACCCAGAGCAUCCAGAACACACCCAGAACACCCAGAGCACACCCAGAGCACACCCAGAGCACACAGAGCACACCCAGAGCACACAGAACACACAGAACACACCCAGAGCACACCCAGAACACACAGAGCACACCCAGAGCACACCCAGAGCACACCCAGAACACACAGAUCACACCCUGAGCACCCAGAGCACACCCAGAGCACACAGAGCACACCCAGAUCACACCCAGAGCACACAGAGCACACCCAGAGCACACAGAGCACACCCUGA